CCUACGGGUGGCAGCAGUGAGGAAUAUUGGUCAAUGGGCGAGAGCCUGAACCAGCCAAGUCGCGUGAAGGAUGACGGCCCUACGGGUUGUAAACUUCUUUUGUCAGGGAGCAAUUGAGUCCACGUGUGGGCUUAGCGAGAGUAACUGAAGAAAAAGCAUCGGCUAACUCCGUGCAAGCAGCCGCGGUAAUACGGAGGAUGCGAGCGUUAUACGGAUUUAGUGGGUUUAAAGUGUGCGUAGGCGGAAUAUCAAGUCAGCGGUAAAAAGUCGGGGCUCAACCCCGUCGUGCGGUUGAAACUGAUGUUCUUGAGUGGGCGAGAAGUAUGCGGAAUGCGUGGUGUAGCGGUGAAAUGCAUAGAUAUCACGCAGAACUCCGAUUGCGAAGGCAGCAUACCGGCGCCCAACUGACGCUGAAGCACGAAAGCGUGGGUAUCGAACAGGAUUAGAUACCCCAGUAGUC
rnacentral:rRNA from 1 species